AGGGGACCCGGCCCACACAAAGUUUCGGGCAGAGUCCCUUGGGCUGCGGGAUCCCCGUACCCGCGGCAGGGCGGCAACCCACGGGCUCCCGCGGCUCCUCAGAGCCUGCCCCAGCUGAGAUCGGCUCCCCAGAGCCUGCCCCAGCUUUUAGACUUUCCUGUUUCGCUCCUUCAGCUGUGAAGCUGAGUGGAACCUGGCUGUGGAGUGGGACUUGGGCCAGACCUGUAUUUGCACACCCAGGGCAGCAGUGCUGUGUUGUGUCAUGGUGAUACUUCCAUGUCCUGUAUUGGCAGAGCUCGGUGUGUAUAUCAGAUGUCACUGGAAGGAGCAAAGAAAAGGAAAAUGAAGGGAAGCUCCACACUGCAGAGUAGUUUAUUUAACAGAUUGCCGGUAGCUUUUCAGGUCUGCCACACAACAAUGUAAGCAAGUAGCUGAGGGGAAAAAAAGCUGUUGUCCCAAUGACCUUAUUGCUCCUUUUGGAUCAUCCAGCAUCAGAAACAAGGAUGUUAUCCAGUGUUGAUGUGCCCAGAAGACACCAGGAAUACAACAUUUACUCAUAUUUUUGUACUGUAACAUGAAUUCAAUUCCAGUCCUUACCUGGAUCACUUCCCAGCAGGUGAAGAUCUGCUUAAAAAUAUGAGCAUGCAGAGGGAAAAAAACUAAAUAAAAUAUAAUAUGAGCAGCUGAUUUCCAUGUUCAUCUAAAACUCUCUCACAGUAGUCCCUGUUUCUGCCAAUAAAACACUCAGAGCUCAUUUUACUAUUUCUGAAAGUCACCUUUACUCAAGCCAUCACUGCAAAGGAAAAGGACUCAACCUGUGCUGCCUUCUGCUUCCAGAUACUGUGUGAGACACUGGCAAUGAGCUUGAGAACCUUAAAAAAAUAACAAAUAAAAAAUCCAACACAAUUGUUCAGGUGCUAGAAUAUAAGAAGGUCAAGUUUUGCUUAUUCUGGGGCACUUGGGUUGCUGAUACCACCAGUAAGAGUUUGGAUCUGUAGAAGUUAUUUAAACAAUGCUAGACUUUGGUAUUUUGUAUGUAAUAAAUUCAUUGCAAGUCCAUCUUCAAAGUAAUAUCUGUGGCCAAAAGGUCCAUAACACAUUUCUUUUAGUACUGAGUAAGGGUCAUGA